ensembl:lncRNA LINC02018 long intergenic non-protein coding RNA 2018
GGUAGGGCCAGGAUAAGCGUCGUUGGGGCAGGUCCUGGGUAGAGUCCAGGUUGGCGGGUCCUGGGGCGGAGUCAGGAUAGGGCGAUCCUGGAAGCUGGGCUUCAGAAGCGUCCAGCGCCACCCGUCUGGGGCCCGAAAGGAGGGAGCUUUCCCUCUGUCCUCCAGCCUUUGGACUGUCUCCAAACAAGCCAUUCGUUCACCAAAUACUUAUUAAGCACCUACCAUGUGCCUGACAAGGGAGAUGUAACGCUGGGGAAACUGAGUUACAGAGCUUUUCUGCACUGAGUCAUCAGGAGCAAAUGCUAGAUCAGAUAGGGUCUCUCUCUCUGCCACCCAGGCCAGAGUGCAGUUGACGCAGGGCAGGGGAGCCCCGAAGUGGAGCAUAGUGUGUCCGGAACUGGUGGGUUCUUGGUCUCACUGACUUCAAGAAUGAAGCCGUGGACCCUCACGGUUCAAGCGAUUCUCCUGCCUCAGCCUCCAGAGUAGCUGGAACUACAGAUGCGCACCACCACGCCCAGAGACAGGGUUUCACCAUGUUGGCCAGGCUUGUCUUGAACUCCUGACGUCGUGAUCUGCCUGCUUUGGCCUCCCAAAGUCCUGGGAUUACAGGCAUGAGCCACCGUACCCAGCCACUCUUGAUUAACUUAAUGGAAAUAUUUACAGAGAUUCUUUCUCUUCUGGGUUCUAGCGUCUUAUCUGUAACCUCUGCAGGGGAGUCACUGAGCAGAACGAAGCGAGUUGCCUGAGAUUCUUCAAAGCCCCAGCCCUUUUGGAGGUUACAUUGUUAUUCUCAGAGCCUUUAUGAUGCAUAAUAAAGACCUAGCUUGUACCAAUA